rnacentral:rRNA from 1 species
UACGUAGGGUGCGAGCGUUGUCCGGAAUUAUUGGGCGUAAAGAGCUUGUAGGCGGUUUGUCGCGUCUGCCGUGAAAUUUCGGGGCUCAACCCCGAACUUGCGGUGGGUACGGGCAGACUAGAGUGUGGUAGGGGAGACUGGAAUUCCUGGUGUAGCGGUGAAAUGCGCAGAUAUCAGGAGGAACACCGAUGGCGAAGGCAGGUCUCUGGGCAUUAACUGACGCUGAGGAGCGAAAGCAUGGGGAGCGAACAGG